UACGUAGGGGGCUAGCGUUGUCCGGAUUUAUUGGGCGUAAAGAGCGUGUAGGCGGCCAGGUAGGUCUGCUGUGAAAACUCGAGGCUUAACCUCGAGAUGUCGGCGGAAACCAUCUGGCUAGAGUCCGGAAGAGGAGAGCGGAAUCCUGGUGUAGCGGUGAAAUGCGCAGAUAUCAAGGAGGAACACCCGGUGGCGAAGGCGGGACUCUG
rnacentral:rRNA from 1 species